UUGCCUGCACUCCCCAUGAAACCCUACACCCUGAACAGCCGGGUGUGACUUCUCUGGCCCCCAUUUGGGCCAUUGAAGCUUCCCCAGGAGCUGAAUAAAUUGGCUUCUUACUUUUUUUUAUACCUGCCUCAGUUUCCUCAUUUUACCUCAGCAAUAAAUCUUACAUUUGGUGCCAAAACCCGGGACGAGUUGUGAGACCCCCCUCCUGGGGAGGGAAACCAACUCCUCCACUCGAGGCUGGACCAGGAGCCACUUUGCCACGAGUGAAAAAUGGAAGAUCAUAGUUGGCUGCUCAACACUGGCAAGAAGGCGAACAAAGUAAAACACUAAUAAAUCUUCUGGAACUUCCACUAGGACACAGUUGGAGGAAUUGGUUAUUUUACCAAGGCUUUAACUGGAAUGGUAUGCUUUCCUUUAAGAAAUCAAACUUGACUUGUAAAGCCAGUAAAAGCCCCAUGAAGAAUUGGACUCAGACUUGUCAACAAUAGUCCCUAAACAAGGUUUC
rnacentral:lncRNA from 13 species